UAAGUAAGCUUUGAUCCAGAGAUUUCCGAAUGGGGAAACCCAGCAUGAGUUAUGUCAUGUUAUCGAUAUGUGAAUACAUAGCAUAUCAGAAGGCACACCCGGAGAACUGAAACAUCUUAGUACCCGGAGGAAGAGAAAGAAAAUUCGAUUCCCUUAGUAGCGGCGAGCGAAACGGGAAGAGCCCAAACCAACAAGCUUGCUUGUUGGGGUUGUAGGACACUCUAUACGGAGUUACAAAGGACGACAUUAGACGAAUCAUCUGGAAAGAUGAAUCAAAGAAGGUAAUAAUCCUGUAGUCGAAAAUGUUGUCUCUCUUGAGUGGAUCCUGAGUACGACGGAGCACGUGAAAUUCCGUCGGAAUCUGGGAGGACCAUCUCCUAAGGCUAAAUACUCUCUAGUGACCGAUAGUGAACCAGUACCGUGAGGGAAAGGUGAAAAGCACCCCGGAAGGGGAGUGAAAUAGAACCUGAAACCGUGUGCUUACAAGUAGUCAGAGCCCGUUAAUGGGUGAUGGCGUGCCUUUUGUAGAAUGAACCGGCGAGUUACGAUUUGAUGCAAGGUUAAGCAGUAAAUGUGGAGCCGUAGCGAAAGCGAGUCUGAAUAGGGCGUUUAGUAUUUGGUCGUAGACCCGAAACCAGGUGAUCUACCCUUGGUCAGGUUGAAGUUCAGGUAACACUGAAUGGAGGACCGAACCGACUUACGUUGAAAAGUGAGCGGAUGAACUGAGGGUAGCGGAGAAAUUCCAAUCGAACCUGGAGAUAGCUGGUUCUCUCCGAAAUAGCUUUAGGGCUAGCCUCAAGUGAUGAUUAUUGGAGGUAGAGCACUGUUUGGACGAGGGGCCCCUCUCGGGUUACCGAAUUCAGACAAACUCCGAAUGCCAAUUAAUUUAACUUGGGAGUCAG
rnacentral:rRNA from 1 species